UGCAUCGAACUGCUUCCCUCACUUCCGAUCAGUAGUUGCUCCACGAGCUAAACGUUGGAUGCAAGACGCGGGUUCCUGUGUUGCAUACCUAUUGCGACGGAAAUGUGUGCCUUCGGUCGUCCCUUCCAUCACGGCGUCCUCACGGAUGCUCGGUUGGACCGGAUAGUGGGGCUCGUGUUCCACGAACGUCGUCUCGUACGAUCGUUCGGACGGACCACGAGCGCCUACUCGUUCUCUCGGAUGCGGAACUCUCACAAUGGGUGUGGGGUCAUCGGCCCUCGUUCCCUAAUCGUUAAGCGUUUAUCGCUUCACCGGAAUGACGAUCUCGCCUUGUCCUUGACCACGCGAAGCCCUCGGGCAUCGCGACGGAUCAUGCUCGGCGGACGUCGUGAAGGAAUGC
rnacentral:misc_RNA from 1 species